rfam:Picea glauca, whole genome shotgun sequence.
ACAUGCCUACAACAUAGAGUUAAUGCAUCAAAUCCCAUUAGAACUCCGCAGUUAAGCACGCUCGGGCUAGAGUAGUACUGGGAUGGGUGACCACCCGAGAAGUCCUAGUGCUUUACAUGCC